rnacentral:lncRNA from 1 species
GAGUGGUGUCAUUUACAGAAAUUGCAUGCAAGGCUGGUUCUGAUGUGCCAGGUGCUCCUUACACAUAGGUUCACAGGGCCUUAAGCCCAUCUUGAAUGUUGAUGUUCCAAGUAGAGAGGAAUUGUGACUCUACCUCUCAUGCAAAGCAACCUGCAUUUGGAGGUUAUCAAAAACUAUUCUACAUUACUUGUUAAGCUUUAUUAUUUUUUCUUUACUAUAUUGCUAUAACCAAUGUGGAAUUGCUAUUUGUGUAUGGUGUGUGAUAAAGAGCAUUUUAUAAUCAUCUAUAUAUAUAGAUAUCCAACAUGACAGCAUCAUUUAAUGAAAAAUGUCCUUUUUUUACUGCUCUGCAGUGACUUUUUUUACACAAAUCUAUAUUUAUGCAUAAUGUAAAUUUUCUUUUUUUUUUAUUAUACUUUAAGUUUUAGGGUACAUGUGCACAAUGUGCAGGUUAGUUACGUAUGUAUACAUGUGCCAUGUUGGUGUGCUGAACUCAUUAACUUGUCAUUUAAUAUUAGGUAUAUCUCCCAAUGCUAUCCCUCCCCUCUCCCCCGACCCCAGAACAGGCCCCAGUGUGUGAUGUUCCCUUUCCUGGGUCCAUGUGUUCUCAUUGUUCAGUUCCCACCUAUGAGUGAGAACAUGCAGCA